rnacentral:lncRNA from 1 species
GGGGAGGAGCGGCCCCUGCUGGGAGUUGGCCAUGCAGCUCCGGGCCGACGGAGCAGAACGCAACGGGCACCCGUGAGUGCCCCCAAGAAGCUGGAUCUUGGGAGAAAAGGGAAGAAAAAAAUGGAAGGGAAUCCCCGCCCAAAUCGAGGGAAGUAACCUCCGGUGUGAGUUACGUCUGGAGCAGCCCAGCUCCGGGCCAGAGCCGACGCGGUCCGCAGGUGCUCCUGGAGGCUGGGGAGAAAGGGGUCCUGGAGAGGGAGGAAGGCGCGGCUUCGGAUGGAACCCCUGGGGCGGAAUGGACAGCACCCACGGGGAAGUGGUACAAGCCGGAGUUCAGACCUCCGCUUAGGGAAGAAGCGGCUACGUGUCCUCCCAGCCGCGAUGCUGUCUGCGGGAAACGCAAGACCCGGGGUCUGGACCGCGCCCCCUUAGACCGAGGUGGGGAGGGGUCCAGGAGCCGAGCGCCAGGGCAAAGCGAGGACGCACUGACACCUGCUGGCCGCUCGUGGUCACGGCUGAGAAGCGACCCGCUGACGCCAGGCGCCUCCUCCCGUCUCUUAGGUCUUCUGCCAACAGAGCCUUCUCCUAUCUCCGAACAAAUUGGUUUCUAAGCUCAGGAAAGGAGAACCCAGAGUUUGAAUUGCACCCUGCCGUGUUGCAGAAAUCUUCCUAAAGCAGAUACUCGUGUGUCUACCCCUGGCGGGAGUGGGGGUUUGUCUAAUAAAGUCACAUCAGGAAGGGCUCAGCAGGCACCGCCGGCCAGAACGGGCAUCCCACUCUGGACCCGCACAGCCCACCCUUCCUGCAGAUCCGAGAGAGGCCAGGAUCCUGCCUCCUUGGUUGCACAGCUCUGGCUUGCUGGGAAUCAUUAUGUUUUUGUUGAGGACCGAAAGCUAGACUCCACUCCCGCCCCGCAUCCCACCCCCAUUCAGAUGUACACACAGCAUCCUUCAAUAAGGGGAAGAGGGAGUAGAAUAUUUUCCAUGUUCUCUCUGAUAAGAAUAGCGGUGGGGGCGGGGGGGAGUGGGUGUGCGGCGAAUGGCAAGUUUUUCCGUGCGUGCUAGCUGUCCUAGGAUAGAUUUUAACGGUCACUAGAGCACUAGCUUGCACCCUGCUAGCUGCACUUUUCAGAUGAGAGCAAGCAGUUUAAUGGUAAAACCCAAGAGGGUAGGAAAUUUCAGCAGGAGAGAGAUUAGACUUAAAGGAAUGUCGUCUUAUUUAAGGAACCACUAAACCAAAAUGCCUUGUGCAGUCACCUAAGUUGGAAUUCCAAGGAUGGAACAGGCUGCCUCUCUGUGCAGCCAGCUGCAGGCUUAGGUCUGGCUGGGGGCUGAUGGCUAAAUUAAGGGCCCUGAGAAUCACCUUCAUUCCCAGCUGAUGUCUAUAGCCCGCACCAGUGAUACAGUUAUUGGUGCUGCUGCUGUUCAUGUAGUCUCAAAAUCUGUACUUUCCAAAGUAUUUCACAGAAGUCUCAUUUGACUUCAGUACCUUUGUCUCCCAAUCUUUGCCCUAAUGGUAUAAACUCCCUUUCCAGUGUUAGUUCUGAGGAGCCUUUCUAAUCUCCCUUUCUGGACAAUCUAAAGGAAGCUGAGAAGACAAUUUCCUCGCUCUGUUGAGUCACUCAUUUUCCAUCUUCUACUAAAGUCUCUGCUCUGAGGCUCUUGGCAGGGGCUUUGGACAUCGCCAGUAGGCUCAGUUGGAAACAUGGCUACAGUCAUUUUUGCACAGCAACUAGGAACCCCACACUUCAAGUAUGAAUACUAAGAGACAAAAAUCAGAGCCCGUGGCAAUCUGGGGUUUGCUGUGUUGCUGUUUGUAGAACUCGGGAACUGAGUCUUAGGAGACCAUCACUUACCAUCUGCACCCCAGCUUCCAACACACUGCUCUUCUUCCUAAUUUCAGAAUCAAAAGAGGAAAUAAAAACAAAGUUUACAGUAAUUAUCUUUCUUGAAAUUUCUGCUGCUAGCCUGUGUAUGACACCUCUUGUCAUAUUUUCUAAAUGCUUCCCAAACAGCCAGGUGGUUUCUUAAUUCCCUGAUUUGGAGUCUUUUCUCCUAAAAUGGGAACAGGUCUUUUCAGAGCCAGGAACCCUGAGGCCAAUACACAACGAAUA